UACGUAGGGGGCAAGCGUUGUCCGGAUUUAUUGGGCGUAAAGAGCGUGUAGGCGGCCAGGUAGGUCAGCUGUGAAAACUCGAGGCUCAACCUCGAGACGCCGGUUGAAACCAUCUGGCUAGAGUCCGGAAGAGGAGAGCGGAAUUCCUGGUGUAGCGGUGAGAUGCGCAGAUAUCAGGAGGAACACCGGUGGCGAAGGCGGAUCUCUGGGCCAUUACUGACGCUGAGGAGCGAAAGCGUGGGGAGCGAACAGG
rnacentral:rRNA from 1 species